CCCUCGGUGGUGGAAAUGGUUAAUGCACUUGGCUGCUAACCAAAAAGUUGGUGAUUCAAAUCCACCCAGAGGUG
rfam:Loxodonta africana unplaced genomic scaffold scaffold_66, whole genome shotgun sequence.